UAAAGUUCCAACGGUACAAGAUGAGCAUGCGUCCCAUUAGCUAGUUGGUGUGGUAACGGCACACCAAGGCRACGAUGGGUAGGGGUCCUGAGAGGGAGAUCCCCCACACUGGUACUGAGACACGGACCAGACUCCUACGGGAGGCAGCAGUGAGGAAUAUUGGUCAAUGGACGCAAGUCUGAACCAGCCAUGCCGCGUGCAGGAUGACGGUCCUAUGGAUUGUAAACUGCUUUUGUACAGGAAGAAACACUCCCUUGCGAGGGAGCUUGACGGUACUGUAAGAAUAAGGAUCGGCUAACUCCGUGCCAGCAGCCGCGGUAAUACGGAGGAUCCAAGCGUUAUCCGGAAUCAUUGGGUUUAAAGGGUCCGUAGGCGGUUUUAUAAGUCAGUGGUGAAAUCUGGUCGCUCAACGAUCAAACGGCCAUUGAUACUGUAAGACUUGAAUUACUUGGAAGUAACUAGAAUAUGUAGUGUAGCGGUGAAAUGCUUAGAGAUUACAUGGAAUACCAAUU
rnacentral:rRNA from 1 species